UUUUUAAUUGAGAACUGGCAUGAAUGGUUUUACAGUAUAAGUCUUUUUUUACUUAAAAUUUUAAUUUAUAUUUUUAGUAAGAAUACUAAAAUAAAAAAAAGGGACGAUAAGACCCUGAAAGCUUAAAACGAUAACUAUAAAAAUUUUUAUUUAGAAUUAUAGUGUUGUUAUUAGCUGGGGAAGUUUUUAUAAAAAAACUAUAAUUAAUUAAUACGUUGUUUUUAUGGUCCUUUAUAUAAGGAUAGUUAGAAAAAGUUACUUCAGGGAUAACAGCAUAAUAAUUUUGUAGAGUUCUUAUCGAUAAAAUUGAGUGUGACCUCGAUGUUGAAUUAAAAUUUCUUUUUAAGGUAUAAUGUAGAGUAGAUGGUUUGUUCAACCUUUAA
rnacentral:rRNA from 1 species